GUUUUCCCACAAAGAGUGAGGUUCUUGCGAACAUGAUGGGCUAGAGCGAGGUUAGGAGGACUCCCCGGGAUCGAUGUAUUCCAUACCAUUCUGGCCGGAAAUGACGAACUCGAUAGGGGCUUCGCCGACGACUUGCGAAAUGGGAAGAACAUCUUGAUAAUAUGUAUUCUCUACAGCUGUCUGUGUUGGAGGUACAUAUUGAAAGAUCGUGAAAGAUUGGGUCCAGUUAGCUUGCUUGUACGAUUUCACCAUGCGGAGGAGACUUUCCUUUUCACCGUCGACGAUAGAUCAAUCACUUACGUCGCAAUAGGUUCAAUCCAUAGAUGCCGACUGAAGUCGUCAAUAACCAUCAAGAGAUAUCGCACUCCCGAAUUAUGUUUGGAUAGAGAUGUCAUGUCUGCCAAAUCAGCAUCGUACUGUUCACAUGGCCCACCAACUUCAACACGUGCACGUUUAAAAGAACGUCUAACUGGUUUUUGUAAACUAUAAUCAUCAAGACUAAAUAUAUAUCUUCUGAUCUUAUGUAUGCCGAGGGUUUUAAUACCUUGCGAUUUCAAUAUUUGGUGAAUCUUCACGGGACUGAGAAAUGCACCACCAUUCUCCAAAUUAUAAUAUACGUCAUAUAUAAGUCGUCUCUCUUCCUCAGUCAACAUAUUUGAAAAUAAUGAGACAAAAACAUUUAUGUACAAACUUUUAUUAACAUUGUUACAUAUUACAACGUUUUGUGAAACCAAUCUUCUACACGAUUCAUGAACAUGACCAUUAUACCGACUUUCUCUUUCCAUUUUUCUGUUUUAAGUUCAUUACUUCUCCAUUCGGUAUUACAUAACUGUGAAAUGAAAGCAUUUCUAGCACUUAUCUGGAUUUCAAAACGAACAGUCUCUUGAAUAAUGUUACGAAUCACUUUAAUGUCAUCCACUUGAA